GAGGGUAUGGCUCAGUGGUAGAGCAUGUGCUUAGCAUGCACAAGGUCCUGGGUUCAAUUCCCAGUACCCCCA
rnacentral:tRNA from 1 species